CGUUCGCCAAAUUCGUUUUCAUCGUGAUAUAAAACACGGUGGAUAUUGAGCCGUAUAAAUUCAUAUUCGUCCUCGUAAAAUUUCUCGUUAGACGAAGAAGAAUGAUCGUUAGAAGCGAUAUGGAAGAGCACGUGGUGGCAAAUCUGGCCAGAAAGACGACAAGCCACGCGGGAAGAAACGUUUUACGAUUGGUUGCGUAACGUUUCCGACGGCGGCCUUGACAUCGAUCCACAUCCAUAGGUAAGACGGAACACUCGUGAUUCACGCCACGAGAUGUCAGGUGUACCCGCGACUGCUCGUUUUACGAACGCUUAAAAGUUUAUAGGCGGCAGUAAACGGCCGCAUUUACCUUUAUUUCGCCGGUUCCCGGUCGGGCGAAACAACUCGUUUCUAAAGGGCCAUCCCGCAGGCCUUUUUAUUCCGAAUGCUUGUCUCUUCAUUCACUUUUGUAGACCGUUAUAUAGCGCCUCUCCCGUAAUACGAGACAGUCGAUUUGUCUUUGAGACGGGUUUUUACUGCUCCACUGACGAACGAGAAAUAAACUAGAAAUCGCUAAAUACGUAAUUACUGUCGUGCGCGCUUGCUGGAGAGAUGUUAUCGACGUAUGGUAAGAGCUCUAGUGUGGAAGUUUUGAUGGAAGUUUAUGGGAGUGUAAUUUCGUCGACGUUAGAAAGUGAAAUAGCGUGAUUCCGUGGAUACUGGAUGAAAUAAAUCUAGUGUGGUGUGAAAUUUAUAGAACGACAGAUUAUGAAAGACGAAGCGAAAAUUAGAAUACAUUUGGCGUUUGAAAUUACUUAUUUGAUUAUAGAAUGAUCUCCAAGAAAGAUUUCUUAAUAACGAGGAAAGCUCGAACAUAAAUGUUAUUCUAUAAGCGUUACGACAUGUGAUUCCAAUUAAAUAUCACUAACAAUAAGUAUUCGGAUAAUCGAUCGUUCGAAUCUUCGAAUCGGCAUACACAUGUGAAUCACGGCUAAACACAGCGUUUAAGGACAAGGCCAGAAACAAUCGAAUCACCGUUGAACGACGUGAAUUAUUGGCGCAGUUGGGAUACUACACCGUGGCCUGGAAUGAUCUACGACGAUCGUAAAACCUGCUCGAUCGUAAAUCGUCGCAGUGCAUUCUAAAGCCGUCGCAUAACGAUAGUAAUGACCGAUACGAACGAUCGAGCGUCGAUCGCUGUGAUUUCCAUUCAAAAUUCGCUUAAGCAUUCAUACGAACGGCACGAAUGAGCAUGGAACAAGUAGCGACGCCAAUCGAACGGUGAUCUCAUCGAUGAAUCACGAUCGUUAUUCCUUUUCCUUUCUGUUUUCGUUUUAAACCGGGUUAGCUGUCGGCAGCCACAGUUGUCUGCUCGCUGUUUAUACGUUUAAAUGUUAUUGCUCGUAAAAACGACACAUUACUAGUAGCUGUUUGUUCUUUUCCAAGUAUCUUGAAUGGAAUCUUAUCCGUUUUCUAUACCGGUGGCAAAGAUUUUUAUUUAUUUUAUUUUUUUUUUUUAAUUGAAAUGAAUUGAAAUUGUACGUGAAAGAUAGGUUAGGUUUGGCUAAUUGAUAUUUGAAAUUGUCCAGAUAAUGAUAUACUUUUGAUAUUUCUAAUGAAAUUUAAUUUUUCAUCAUUUUAUAUAUUUUCUUAAACGGCAUCGUUAAUUUUUUUUAAAUUAUUAUUUCAAUUUUUAUUAAUUUAUUGAUAAAAUUAAAAGGAUUAUUAAAUAUUGAAGAAUUUUAUCUCGAUGCCUAAUUAACGUUUACAUUCCACAAAUAAAUAAAUCAAAUUUUUUAUUUCUUUAUUAUCUAAAGAGUAAACACUACUUUAUCAUUUAUCUUUUCUUGUUUUUUAAAAAAUUUAUUAUACUUAUGUUUGAAUCACACUGCAAAGAGUGUAGAAGACGUAGCAUGACACAAUGUUGGUGCGAAAUUUCUCGUCAAAUGACAGCCUGACAUGAAUGAAGCCACGUAGGAUCAUAGAAACGACUAUUCAUCCGAGAGAACGAGCGAUUACGCAAGUUGUCGGUUUUAUGAGCAAAAUAGCGACUCUCGGGACGACAAGACUGCCAGCAGACAUGGGUCAAGUGAUGAUCUCAUUGACACGAUAUUCGUGAAAUUAAAACAAUAUCGUCUAAAAAUUUGAAAUCACUUUUCAAUCAAAUUAUAUAUUUUUUUUUGUUGAAAAUAAUUUAAGCAUAUCGAUAAAUUCUUUGCGAGACAAUUUUUUGAGGUUAGGAAAUCCUAAUUCGAUUUUUGAAAUUUAAAUAUUUUUCGAUUCGAAAUUUUCGACUGAUAAUAUAGAUUCACCGUAUAAAUUUUUAAAAUUGUCGAAAAUAUUUUAUUAUUCGAAGUUCGAAACGUUUUUUGUUAAUACUAGAUCGUUAAAUGUGAAAUUAGAUUAAUAUUCUACUAUUUAUAAAUUGCACGCAAGAUAUUUUUAU